CGUAAGCCGGGAUCGAGAGGUCGACUCUUCGGGACCGCGUUAGUCCGUGUCUGUUGGACUGACGUUAAACUCAAGCAGGCUCAGCGCGCCAUCACCCUGUCUGCCGGAGGGCGGCGCGUCACAUAAAAGACAGACUACGCAUGUAGAACCAUAGAUGUAGGGCUUGCGGACGCGGGUUCGAUUCCCGCCGCCUCCACCA
rnacentral:tmRNA from 1 species